rnacentral:lncRNA from 1 species
UAAAUUUGUUGGUUGACUGCCAUACGAAUUAAUGUGACAAGAAUAUGGAGGAGAUCAAUGGGGUCCUAAUCCAAGGAAAAUGAGGAGUGCAUAGGGUCGUCCGGUUUCAACUCGCAUUCCUAUUAAGAUGGACGAAGAAGGAAAUGAACGAAAAACUAGAAAAAAAUAUGGAAUUUUCCAGCAACCAGGUCAUAAUAGAAACAAUUGUCCCAACAUACCUUCAUCCUUCAACUUUCUUAUCGACAGAUAUUAUUGUUUAUGUAUUUUAUUUAUGAUGUAAUGUUCUUCUGUAAAUAACUUGUUAAACAAAAAAUAUUAUCAUUUUAAAAAAUGAAAUGACAUUGUUAAAGUAUUAUAUUGUGUAGACAACUGGUGUAGAUGUAGACAGGUGUAUUGUGUACUAAUUGUAUCUUUAUAAUAGUAGUCUUGACAGGUUUAGAAAAAGGUUGUUUUUAGUGUGGAUUCUGAAAAGCCUAAGUAGGAGCAGAUUCCCCAGUCUGAACCUGUCUUUUCUUCUUUCUUAUUGUACUCUUUCUAUUUUAUAUAAAUAAAUGUGUGGCUGAGAAAAGGAACUUAGCUCUUCUCUAAUGCAAUGCGUAUCUCAAACCCUUCAACAAUGUAGUCCUUAAACUUCAACAUGAGAUCAGAGCGGGUACGAUCCUGUUCUGACUGUCUCCGGCAUCACCACCGCCCGCCACCGCCGCCGUCUUUUCUUCUAGCGAACCCAAGGUUAGGUGCGCCUUGAAGAGUGCGAACCAUCCCUGGAAGUCGCGUGGCCCGAAUCUCUACCAUGUGCCAUCACAGUUUCGCGCCAUAUCUAGCGCAUGAAGCUUACGCGUCGUCGCAGUUCCAGUUGAAUCUCGUUGUCUACCACUGUCAGCCACUGUCUCUGUUGGGCAAGUGCCAUCCUGUUCCGCUGUCUCUGUUGCUUCUCGUCUUCUACCACUGUCGGCCACUGUCGUUAGCUGCUAAAACCUCUUCUUUUGGCCCUUCUUCUUUGUCUACAGAACUAUGGUGUGUUCUGGUCCUGUUUAAGGCCUCGCCUGGUUUCCUGGCUCUCUCUUUUGUUACAAUAGGAAACAUUGUUACCAAGCCAGAGAGUACCCAUUGCUUUGGCUUCCUCAAAAGCAGUUGCUCAGUUUGGCAUGGUUUUGAAUGUUGCCAAGGCUCCCCUUCCAACUGCCUUCAAAGUUCCAUUGUGUUCUGGUUCUAAAAAAUGUCAACUUCAGGCCCUGUUCUUUCUAUUUCUGAGACAUCCUCCAUUGGACUUUUGAAGAAAGAUUGGUGGGGAUGCUACUAUUUUUAAUUUCUCUUUUAGUUUGGCAAGAAGUGAUCACAAGGUUUUUGUUCAUAUUCCUCUUUGAAGAAAAAUUUGAGUUUGUUCAGUUAGGGUUUGAAGUUUCUACCAUGCUUGCAAGAUGUUUGAGAUUAUUCCCUCCUCAUUUGUCUCUCUUAACCCUUGUUGUGUAGCUUCAUUGUCUCCUAUCCUUCUAUUCAUCUGUUGUGUGGUCUGCUGUUUAAUAUCGUUGUCCCCUUCAUUCAUCAAGAGGGUCUCAAGUGUUUAUAUUAUAAAAAAAAAAGAGUCAUUUGUUGAUCCUGUUGUCCAGCAACUUCUUCCUUGUCUUUGUCCUUGAAGCAAUUGUUGUCCCCGGGGUUUGAUCUGGUCAAGAACCCCAACUAUAUAUUAAAAAAAAUCAUUAAGCUUCUAUCCAUGGUGAUUAAGCAUUGAUGUGAAGCUUCUACCAUGGAUGGUCAAACAUUGGUGUGUUGUUUUUGCCUUUAUGGUGGUUAAGCAUUCAAAAAUUGUGUUUUGCUUCUAUCUUGAGCGGUUAAGCACCAUGUUUAGCUUCUGCUCUUGAUGGUUAAGCUUUGUUGAUUCUACCUAUAUAAUGGUUAAGUACUUGUUUGUUGGCUUGCUUCUAUCUUGAGUGGUUAAUCAUCAUGCGUAGCUUCUGCUCUUGAUGAUUAAGUUUGAUCUACUUUUACCUUUUAGGUGGUUAAGUGUAUUUGCUUCUGUUAAGUGGUUAAGCAUUGUGUUGUGGCUUCUGCUUAAUGGUUCAGCAUAUUCCAAUUGUCUUUGAAUGUUUGCAGUCAUUUUCAAUCCGUUGCCAAUGUAUUUCCAACAUGUUUCAUUGUCUAUUUUUCUACUUGUAUUGUUCAUCCCAAGCUAGAAGGUGGAGUCAACUACAAGUGUUGACUCCACCUUCCAUCUUGUGAGGAGAAGUGUGUUGGUUGUCUCCUAAUCAGUACUAAUCAUUUUGAAGGCCAGCUCCAUUGUGUUGUUACCUGAAUUUGAGGAUCCCUCCUUGUUUUGGUCAGAGGAAGUUUAUCAUGGCUCAGCAUCUGAGUUUCAGUCAUGGGUUUCAAUUAAGCAAUCAAGCUCCAUCGCAACAUCUAACUUAGAAGAAGAUUCUUUCUGAUGCUUCAGCUCAUGUUCCAAGCUUGGAGCAUUUAAUUUAUAUGCUCCAGCUUGAGGGGGAGUGUUAAAGUAUUAUAUUGUGUAGAUAGUUGUAUUGUGUAGACAGCUGGUGUAGAUGUAGACAGUUGUAUUGUGUACUAGUUGUAUCUUUGUAAGAGUAGUCUUAACAGUAUAGAAAAAAUUGUUUUUAGUAUGAAUUCUGAAAAACCUAAGUAAGAGCAAGUACCCCAGUCUAAACCUGUCUUUUUUUCUUUCUUAUUGUAUUCUUUCUGUUUUAUAUAAAUAUAUACAAUGUGUGGGUGCGAUUGAGAAAAAGAACUUAGCACUUCUCUAAUGUAAUGUGUAUCUCAAAUCCUUCAAUAAUGUAGUCUUUAACUUUAAUAGACAUAAACAAAAAAUUAUAUUUAAUAAAAUAAUAAUAUUAAAAGUUUAACUUUUUAUUAAAGUAAAAAUAAUAUUAAAAAAAGAAGUCAAUAAUUUUUUUAAAAAAAUUAAAAUGUUAACUAAAAAAAUCUAAUUUUUUUUUAAAAAAAAAAAUUUAAAAAAAAAAAAUCACCCUUUAGAAGUUGGAUUUUCCAAUCCCGACUCCUCACUGUCAUAGCAAAAUGGUGCAUAUGAGGAUUUACGUUUGAAAUAUCUGAAAUAAAGAGGAGGGAGAGCGUGUACUUUGAGAAAAAAACCUCGAAACGACCCACGCUGUAUCUUGUCCUAGAGAUGAGUCUCCCCCAUCGAACUUGAUCUCGUUUCCAUCAACGUAGUUCUCAAGCCAACAUUGACUGGCUCUGAGCGUGAUGUCAGAGGUUUUUUUUGCGGGUUGAUAGCCCACACCAAAGUCACUUCGAGCAAUGUCCUCGCU